UACGUAGGUCCCGAGCGUUGUCCGGAUUUAUUGGGCGUAAAGCGAACGCAGGUGGUUUAUUAAGUCUGGUGUAAAAGGCAGUGGCUCAACCAUUGUAUGCAUUGGAAACUGGUAGACUUGAGUGCAGGAGAGGAGAGUGGAAUUCCAUGUGUAGCGGUGAAAUGCGUAGAUAUAUGGAGGAACACCGGUGGCGAAAGCGGCUCUCUGGCCUGUAACUGACACUGAGGCUCGAAAGCGUGGGGAGCAAACAGG
rnacentral:rRNA from 1 species